UAGCGGAGGAUCCAAGCGUUUAUUCCGGGAAUCAUUGGGUUUAAAGGGUCCGUAGGCGGCCUUAUAAAGUCAGGUGGUGAAACUCUCCCGGCUCAACCGGGAAAUUGCCAUUGAUACUGUAGGGCUUGAAUUAUUAGGAAGUAACUAAGAAUAUGUAGUGUAGCGGUGAAAUGCUUAGAGAUUACAUGGAAUACCAAUUGCGAAGGCAGGUUACUAACUAAUGGAAUUGACGCUGGAUGGACGGAAAGCGUGGGUAGCGAACAGGA
rnacentral:rRNA from 1 species